rnacentral:rRNA from 1 species
GUUAAGCGACUAAGCGUACACGGUGGAUGCCCUGGCAGUCAGAGGCGAUGAAGGACGUGCUAAUCUGCGAUAAGCGUCGGUAAGGUGAUAUGAACCGUUAUAACCGGCGAUUUCCGAAUGGGGAAACCCAGUGUGUUUCGACACACUAUCAUUAACUGAAUCCAUAGGUUAAUGAGGCGAACCGGGGGAACUGAAACAUCUAAGUACCCCGAGGAAAAGAAAUCAACCGAGAUUCCCCCAGUAGCGGCGAGCGAACGGGGAGCAGCCCAGAGCCUGAAUCAGUGUGUGUGUUAGUGGAAGCGUCUGGAAAGGCGCGCGAUACAGGGUGACAGCCCCGUACACAAAAAUGCACAUGCUGUGAGCUCGAUGAGUAGGGCGGGACACGUGGUAUCCUGUCUGAAUAUGGGGGGACCAUCCUCCAAGGCUAAAUACUCCUGACUGACCGAUAGUGAACCAGUACCGUGAGGGAAAGGCGAAAAGAACCCCGGCGAGGGGAGUGAAAAAGAACCUGAAACCGUGUACGUACAAGCAGUGGGAGCACGCUUAGGCGUGUGACUGCGUACCUUUUGUAUAAUGGGUCAGCGACUUAUAUUCUGUAGCAAGGUUAACCGAAUAGGGGAGCCGAAGGGAAACCGAGUCUUAACUGGGCGUUAAGUUGCAGGGUAUAGACCCGAAACCCGGUGAUCUAGCCAUGGGCAGGUUGAAGGUUGGGUAACACUAACUGGAGGACCGAACCGACUAAUGUUGAAAAAUUAGCGGAUGACUUGUGGCUGGGGGUGAAAGGCCAAUCAAACCGGGAGAUAGCUGGUUCUCCCCGAAAGCUAUUUAGGUAGCGCCUCGUGAAUUCAUCUCCGGGGGUAGAGCACUGUUUCGGCAAGGGGGUCAUCCCGACUUACCAACCCGAUGCAAACUGCGAAUACCGGAGAAUGUUAUCACGGGAGACACACGGCGGGUGCUAACGUCCGUCGUGAAGAGGGAAACAACCCAGACCGCCAGCUAAGGUCCCAAAGUCAUGGUUAAGUGGGAAACGAUGUGGGAAGGCCCAGACAGCCAGGAUGUUGGCUUAGAAGCAGCCAUCAUUUAAAGAAAGCGUAAUAGCUCACUGGUCGAGUCGGCCUGCGCGGAAGAUGUAACGGGGCUAAACCAUGCACCGAAGCUGCGGCAGCGACGCUUAUGCGUUGUUGGGUAGGGGAGCGUUCUGUAAGCCUGCGAAGGUGUGCUGUGAGGCAUGCUGGAGGUAUCAGAAGUGCGAAUGCUGACAUAAGUAACGAUAAAGCGGGUGAAAAGCCCGCUCGCCGGAAGACCAAGGGUUCCUGUCCAACGUUAAUCGGGGCAGGGUGAGUCGACCCCUAAGGCGAGGCCGAAAGGCGUAGUCGAUGGGAAACAGGUUAAUAUUCCUGUACUUGGUGUUACUGCGAAGGGGGGACGGAGAAGGCUAUGUUGGCCGGGCGACGGUUGUCCCGGUUUAAGCGUGUAGGCUGGUUUUCCAGGCAAAUCCGGAAAAUCAAGGCUGAGGCGUGAUGACGAGGCACUACGGUGCUGAAGCAACAAAUGCCCUGCUUCCAGGAAAAGCCUCUAAGCAUCAGGUAACAUCAAAUCGUACCCCAAACCGACACAGGUGGUCAGGUAGAGAAUACCAAGGCGCUUGAGAGAACUCGGGUGAAGGAACUAGGCAAAAUGGUGCCGUAACUUCGGGAGAAGGCACGCUGAUAUGUAGGUGAAGUCCCUCGCGGAUGGAGCUGAAAUCAGUCGAAGAUACCAGCUGGCUGCAACUGUUUAUUAAAAACACAGCACUGUGCAAACACGAAAGUGGACGUAUACGGUGUGACGCCUGCCCGGUGCCGGAAGGUUAAUUGAUGGGGUCAGCGCAAGCGAAGCUCUUGAUCGAAGCCCCGGUAAACGGCGGCCGUAACUAUAACGGUCCUAAGGUAGCGAAAUUCCUUGUCGGGUAAGUUCCGACCUGCACGAAUGGCGUAAUGAUGGCCAGGCUGUCUCCACCCGAGACUCAGUGAAAUUGAACUCGCUGUGAAGAUGCAGUGUACCCGCGGCAAGACGGAAAGACCCCGUGAACCUUUACUAUAGCUUGACACUGAACAUUGAGCCUUGAUGUGUAGGAUAGGUGGGAGGCUUUGAAGUGUGG